rnacentral:rRNA from 1 species
UUACUGGGCGUAAAGCGCGCGUAGGUGGUUUUGUCAGUCAGAUGUGAAAGCCCAGGGCUCAACCUUGGAACUGCACCUGAUACUGCAAGACUAGAGUACAAUAGAGGGGAGUGGAAUUUCCGGUGUAGCGGUGAAAUUCGUAGAUAUUCGGAGGAACACCAGUGGCGAAGGCGGCUCACUGGCUCGAUACUGACGCUGAGGUGCGAAAGUGUGGGGAGCAAACAGGAUUAGAUACCCUGGUAGUCCACACCGUAAACGAUGAAUGCCAGUCGUCGGGUAGCAUGCUGCUCGGUGACACACCUAACGGAUUAAGCAUUCCGCCUGGGGAGUACGGUCGCAAGAUUAAAACUCAAAGGAAUUGACGGGGGCCCGCACAAGCGGUGGGGCAUGUGGUUUAAUUCGAAGCAACGCGCAGAACCUUACCAACCCUUGACAUCCUAGGACCGCCAGAGAGAUUUGGCUUUCACUUCGGUGACCUAGUGACAGGUGCUGCAUGGCU